rnacentral:rRNA from 1 species
GAUGAACGCUGGCGGCGUGCCUAAUACAUGCAAGUCGAGCGAACAGACGAGGAGCUUGCUCCUCUGACGUUAGCGGCGGACGGGUGAGUAACACGUGGAUAACCUACCUAUAAGACUGGGAUAACUUCGGGAAACCGGAGCUAAUACCGGAUAACAUGUUGAACCGCAUGGUUCAACAGUGAAAGACGGUCUUGCUGUCGCUUAUAGAUGGAUCCGCGCCGCAUUAGCUAGUUGGUAAGGUAACGGCUUACCAAGGCAACGAUGCGUAGCCGACCUGAGAGGGUGAUCGGCCACACUGGAACUGAGACACGGUCCAGACUCCUACGGGAGGCAGCAGUAGGGAAUCUUCCGCAAUGGGCGAAAGCCUGACGGAGCAACGCCGCGUGAGUGAAGAAGGUCUUCGGAUCGUAAAACUCUGUUAUUAGGGAAGAACAAAUGUGUAAGUAACUAUGCACGUCUUGACGGUACCUAAUCAGAAAGCUACGGCUAACUACGUG